rnacentral:tRNA from 1 species
GGGCCCAUGGUCUAAAGGCAUGACACGAGGCUGGCAGUCUUGUAGUUCGGGUUCGAUUCCCGAUGGGUCCA